CCGCAAGGCGGGAGACUUGAACUGAUUUAUGCCUCCAAGAAAAGCUUCUAGGGAGAUUUUAUGGUAUCCGUACCGCAAUCCGACACAGGUAGACUGGUUGAGCAUACUAAGGCGAACGAGUGAAUCGUGGCUAAGGAACUCGGCAAAUUACAUCCGUAACUUCGGGAAAAGGAUGCCCUGUCGAAAGGCAGGGGGCACAGAAAUGGCUUGAGCGACUGUUUAUCAAAAACACAGGUCUCUGCUUAACUCGCAAGAGGACGUAUAGGGGCCGACGCCUGCCCAGUGCCCGUAAGUUAAAUCCGGGGGUGAUUCUUAUUUAUAAGAUGAGCUCUUGGUAUAAGCUCGGGUGAACGGCAGCAGUAACUAUAACUGUUCAAAGGUAGCGUAAUCCCUCGCCGGUUAAUUGCCGGCCCGCACGAAAGGCGUAACGACUUGAGCACUGUCUUGGUCACGAGCUCGGUGAAAUUGAACUGCCGGUGAAGAUGCCGGCUACUCGUUGUUGGACAAAAAGACCCCGUGGAGCUUUACUACAGCUUGGCAUUGACAAGCGGUAUUGACUGUGUAGCGUAGGAGGGAGCUCUCUAUUUUCGAAUAGAAAGCGCCAAUGAAACACCUCUCUUUCACUAUUGUGAGUCUUACUACGUGCCGUGAUCCGGUGCGAGGACAAUGUCUGGUGGGUAGUUUAACUGGGGCGGUUUCCUGCUAAAAAGUAACGCAGGAGCACAAAGGUUCCCUUAUCGCCGAUGGAAAUGGCGAUGUAAGCGUAAAGGUAUAUGGGAGCUUGACUGCAAGACAUACAAGUCGAGCAGGUACGAAAGUAGGUCUUAAUGAUCUUCCGAGUCCUUAGUGGUAGGGCCGGAACUUAACGGAUAAAAGUUACCCCGGGGAUAACAGGCUAAUCUUGCCCGAGCGUCCAUAGCGGCGGCAAGGUUUGGCACCUCGAUGUCGUCUCGUCUCAUCCUGGGGCUGAAGCAGGUCCCAAGGGUCGGGCUGUUCUCCCGUUAAAGAGGCGCGUUAGAUGGGUUCAGAACGUCGUAAGACAGUUUGGUCUCUUUCCACAACGAGCGCAUUGGUUCUGAGGAAGGCUGUUCCUAGUACGAGAGGACCGGAAUGGACGAACCUCUAGUGUACCAGUUGUCACGCCAGUGGCAUCGCUGGGUAGCUACGUUCGGUUGGGAUAAGCGCUGAAAGCAUCUAAGCACGAAGCCCAUUCCAAGACUAGAACCAAAUUUCCCGCUUCGGCGGGAAGCAACUCCUGGGAGACUACCAGGUUGAUAGGCUGCAGGUGUAAGUACAGCAAUGUAUUCAGCCGAGCAGUACUAAUGUUUGCACAUCUUUAUAAC
rnacentral:rRNA from 1 species